CCUACGGGAUGCAGCAGUGGGGAAUAUUGCACAAUGGGGGAAACCCUGAUGCAGCGACGCCGCGUGAGUGAAGAAGUAUUUCGGUAUGUAAAGCUCUAUCAGCAGGGAAGAAGAAAGACGGUACCUGACUCAGAAGCCCCGGCUAACUACGUGCCAGCAGCCGCGGUAAUACGUAGGGGGCAAGCGUUAUCCGGAUUUACUGGGUGUAAAGGGAGCGUAGACGGCUGUGCAAGUCUGAAGUGAAAGCCCAGGGCUCAACCCUGGGACUGCUUUGGAAACUGUGGAGCUAGAGUGCUGGAGAGGUAAGUGGAAUUCCUAGUGUAGCGGUGAAAUGCGUAGAUAUUAGGAGGAACACCAGUGGCGAAGGCGGCUUACUGGACAGUAACUGACGUUGAGGCUCGAAAGCGUGGGGAGCAAACAGGAUUAGAUACCCGUGUAGUC
rnacentral:rRNA from 1 species